rnacentral:rRNA from 1 species
GACGAACGCUGGCGGCGUGCUUAACACAUGCAAGUCGAACGGAGUGGCGAACGGGUGAGUAACACGUGGGUGAUCUGCCUUGCACUUCGGGAUAAGCUUGGGAAACUGGGUCUAAUACCGGAUAGUGUAGGCUGAGCGCGGGGCCUAUCAGCUUGUUGGUGGGGUAAUGGCCUACCAAUGCGUCGACGGGUAGCCGGCCUGGGAGGGUGUACGGCCACAAUGCGACUGAGGGACGGCCCAGGCGGGUACGGGAGGCAGCGGUGGGGAAUAUUGCACAAUGGGCGGAAGCCUGAUGCAGCGACGCCGCGUGGGGGAUGAAGGCCUUCGGGUUGGAAACUCCUUUCGACAGGGACGCGGUACCUGUAUAAGAAGCACCGGCUAACUACGUGCCAGCAGCCGCGGUAAUAC